UUUUAUGGAGAGUUUGAUCCUGGCUCAGGAUGAACGCUGGCGGCGUGCCUAAUACAUGCAAGUCGAGCGAACGGACGAGAAGCUUGCUUCUCUGAUGUUAGCGGCGGACGGGUGAGUAACACGUGGAUAACCUACCUAUAAGACUGGGAUAACUUCGGGAAACCGGAGCUAAUACCGGAUAAUAUUUUGAACCGCAUGGUUCAAAAGUGAAAGACGGUCUUGCUGUCACUUAUAGAUGGAUCCGCGCUGCAUUAGCUAGUUGGUAAGGUAACGGCUUACCAAGGCAACGAUGCAUAGCCGACCUGAGAGGGUGAUC
rnacentral:rRNA from 1 species